rnacentral:rRNA from 1 species
UACAUGCUAAAAACCUCGACUUCGGAAGGGGUGUAUUUAUUAGAUAAAAAACCAAUGCCCUUCGGGGCUCCUUGGUGAUUCAUAAUAACUUAACGAAUCGCAUGGCCUUGUGCCGGCGAUGGUUCAUUCAAAUUUCUGCCCUAUCAACUUUCGAUGGUAGGAUAGUGGCCUACCAUGGUUUCAACGGGUAACGGGGAAUUAGGGUUCUAUUCCGGAGAGGGAGCCUGAGAAACGGCUGCCACAUCCAAGGAAGGCAGCAGGCGCGCAAAUUACCCAAUCCCGACACGGGGAGGUAGUGACAAUAAAUACUGAUACAGGGCUCUUUUGGGUCUUGUAAUUGGAAUGAGUACAAUUUAAAUCCCUUAACGAGGAACAAUUGGAGGGCAAGUCUGGUGCCAGCAGCCGCGGUAAUUCCAGCUCCAAUAGCGUAUAUUAAAGUUGUUGCAGUUAAAAAGCUCGUAGUUGAACCUUGAGCCUGGCUGGCCGGUCCGCCUCACCGCGUGCACUGGUCCGGCCGGGCUUUUCCUUCUGGGGAGCCGCAUGCCCUUCGCUGGGUGUGUCGGGGAACCAGGACUUUUACUUUGAAAAAAUUAGAGUGUUCAAAGCAGGCCUAUGCUCGAAUACAUUAGCAUGGAAUAAUAGAAUAGGACGUGUGGUUCUAUUUUGUUGGUUUCUAGGACCGCCGUAAUGAUUAAUAGGGAUAGUCGGGGGCAUCAGUAUUCAAUUGUCAGAGGUGAAAUUCUUGGAUUUAUUGAAGACUAACUACUGCGAAAGCAUUUGCCAAGGAUGUUUUCAUUAAUCAGUGAACGAAAGUUAGGGGAUCGAAGACGAUCAGAUACCGUCGUAGUCUUAACCAUAAACUAUGCCGACUAGGGAUCGGGCGAUGUU